GGGGAUUUAGCUCAGUGGUUCUGGCACCUGCCUUGCAAGCGCAAGAUCCCGAGUUCAAUCCCCGGUAUCCCCC
rfam:Heterocephalus glaber contig59484, whole genome shotgun sequence.